UACGGGGGGGGCAAGCGUUGUUCGGAAUUACUGGGCGUAAAGGGCUCGUAGGCGGCCAACUAAGUCGGACGUGAAAUCCCCAGGCUCAACCUGGGAACUGCGUCCGAUACUGGAUGGCUUGAAUCCGGGAGAGGGAUGCAGAAUUCCAGGUGUAGCGGUGAAAUGCGUAGAUAUCCGGAGGAACACCGGUGGCGAAGGCGGCUUCCUGGACCGACACUGACGCUGAGGAGCGAAAGCGUGGGGAGCAAACAGG
rnacentral:rRNA from 1 species